rnacentral:rRNA from 1 species
AACGAACGCUGGCGGCAGGCUUAACACAUGCAAGUCGAGCGCCCCGCAAGGGGAGCGGCAGACGGGUGAGUAACGCGUGGGAAUCUACCCAUCUCUACGGAAUAACGCAUGGAAACGUGUGCUAAUACCGUAUACGUCCUUCGGGAGAAAGAUUUAUCGGGGAUGGAUGAGCCCGCGUUGGAUUAGCUAGUUGGUGGGGUAAAGGCCUACCAAGGCGACGAUCCAUAGCUGGUCUGAGAGGAUGAUCAGCCACACUGGGACUGAGACACGGCCUAGAAUCCUACGGGAGGCAGCAGUGGGGAAUAUUGUACAAUGGGCGCAAGCCUGAUCCAGCCAUGCCGCGUGAGUGAUGAAGGCCCUAGGGUUGUAAAGCUCUUUCACCGGUGAAGAUAAUGACGGUAACCGGAGAAGAAGCCCCGGCUAACUUCGUGCCAGCCGCCGCGGUAACAC